UCUGUGCCCUGCAGGGUACACUAAACCAUGGGCAAGGAAUCUUGGAAGAAGUUAACCUGAUUCUCCAGUGUUUCCUAGUAUUCAAUAAGGAUCGCUACUGCUGAAAGGGUACACUAAACCAUGGGCAAGGAAUCUUGGAAGAAGUUAACCUGAUUCUCCAGUGUUUCCUAGUAUUCAAUAAGGAUCGCUACUGCUGAAAGGGUACACUAAACCAUGGGCAAGGAAUCUUGGAAGAAGUUAACCUGAUUCUCCAGUGUUUCCUAGUAUUCAAUAAGGAUCGCUACUGCUGAAAGGGUACACUAAACCAUGGGCAAGGAAUCUUGGAAGAAGUUAACCUGAUUCUCCAGUGUUUCCUAGUAUUCAAUAAGGAUCGCUACUGCUGAAAGGGUACACUAAACCAUGGGCAAGGAAUCUUGGAAGAAGUUAACCUGAUUCUCCAGU